UAACAUUUGGAAACAGAUGCUAAUACCGCAUAGAUCCAAGAACCGCAUGGUUCUUGGCUGAAAGAUGGCGUAAGCUAUCGCUUUUGGAUGGACCCGCGGCGUAUUAGCUAGUUGGUGAGGUAAUGGCUCACCAAGGCGAUGAUACGUAGCCGAACUGAGAGGUUGAUCGGCCACAUUGGGACUGAGACACGGCCCAAACUCCUACGGGAGGCAGCAGUAGGGAAUCUUCCACAAUGGACGCAAGUCUGAUGGAGCAACGCCGCGUGAGUGAAGAAGGCUUUCGGGUCGUAAAACUCUGUUGUUGGAGAAGAAUGGUCGGCAGAGUAACUGUUGUCGGCGUGACGGUAUCCAACCAGAAAGCCACGGCUAACUACGUGCCAGCAGCCGCGGUAAUACGUAGGUGGCAAGCGUUAUCCGGAUUUAUUGGGCGUAAAGCGAGCGCAGGCGGUUUUUUAAGUCUGAUGUGAAAGCCCUCGGCUUAACCGAGGAAGCGCAUCGGAAACUGGGAAACUUGAGUGCAGAAGAGGACAGUGGAACUCCAUGUGUAGCGGUGAAAUGCGUAGAUAUAUGGAAGAACACCAGUGGCGAAGGCGGCUGUCUGGUCUGUAACUGACGCUGAGGCUCGAAAGCAUGGGUAGCGAACAGGAUUAGAUACCCUGGUAGUCCAUGCCGUAA
rnacentral:rRNA from 1 species